AUUGAACGCUGGCGGCAUGCCUUACACAUGCAAGUCGAACGGUAACAGGUCUUCGGAUGCUGACGAGUGGCGAACGGGUGAGUAAUACAUCGGAACGUGCCUAGUAGUGGGGGAUAACUACUCGAAAGAGUGGCUAAUACCGCAUGAGAUCUACGGAUGGAAGCAGGGGAUCGCAAGACCUUGUGCUACUAGAGCGGCCGAUGGCAGAUUAGGUAGUUGGUGGGAUAAAAGCUACACAAGCCGACGAUCUGUAGCUGGUCUGAGAGGACGAUCAGCCACACUGGGACUGAGAAACGGCCCAGACUCCUACGGGAGGCAGCAGUGGGGAAUUUUGGACAAUGGGCGCAAGCCUGAUCCAGCAAUGCCGCGUGCAGGAUGAAGGCCUUCGGGUUGUAAACUGCUUUUGUACGGAACGAAAAGCCCCGGGUUAAUACCCUGGGGUCAUGACGGUACCGUAAGAAUAAGCACCGGCUAACUACGUGCCAGCAGCCGCCGUAA
rnacentral:rRNA from 1 species